GGACAACAGGUUGACCUGGGUGGUGACGAUUCGGGCAGCUUCGGCCGCAACGUGGCUUCCUGCCUUUUGCCGGCAACUAUACCCAGUUCAAAACCACGGAUGUCUGUUGAACGGAGGAAUUGUGAACUCACUUGACGGAGCAGAGGGGCGCCAAGGGCAACAUGCAUACAUACAGGUGCCAUAUCAGCAAUGGCUACGAAUGACGGGAUGGAGAGAGAGAGACGGCCAAAGAGACCAGCUCCACCAAGGUAGAGAGUUGCCGUGAUUGCUGCUCCUACCCACUGAGCACCACCUAACUCGACACUGAACCAACCCCGACUCUCAAAGUGAUGAUCCUUGGCACCCAAGACACAAGAGGGCAGGAUUGAAGAGUGGGACGACGACGACGACGACGACAACCUCUCCUAAGACAAAGCCAUAUUAUCAUGGUGGUAUAAGCCAACCCGCGUCCGGUCCAGCACUCGCCAUGAUCGCACGGACUCACUCCUCAUCAACCAAAAGAAAAAUAAGAAGAAGACCAACCGAACAACCAAGCAACCAACCAAGCAACCAUCCAACCCACUAACACGACCAUCGCUUACUACUACUACAACAAUAACAACAACAACACUCAUCCAUCCACGAAACAGUUGGUACAGGAGGGAGAUGGGGGAUGACUACCUAGUAUAGUAGAGUACGUAGUAGCUGGUGUAAGCGCGUGUGUGUGUGAGCGAGUGUGUCGAACUGGCACCAACUACCUGCAGCUCCCUCCUCCAGUAAAAUGGCUAGUGCCAGGACCACUUUGGCUUAGGUACCAAAUUCCCUCAAGUGUCUUCUUGUCGACGGGGAAGAGAAGGAGAGGGGGGAGGAGGAGAUGUUUUGUUACAAGGGUAGAGUUGAAAUCAACCAAAAAGGCUCAUACAACGCGCUUCCAAGAGGAGAUACGUCCAAGACUUUUAACCUGCUCUAAUUAAUGGCUAGACUUGGUCUUCCAUGGAAUUGAGCUUCGGAUCAAUAGAGCAGACCUCUUUUUGAGAGAUUGCAUUCGGAUGUUCGAGGCAUCGGACUACACUACUGGGUACUGUACGUAUGGCCACGUAUUGACUUCUUUUGAUUGUGGCCAAAUCUGAUGCGCCUGUUAGCGAACAAAAGCCACAAAGCCAAGUAAAUCAAUUGCCAAAGAUUAAGACGCUGAGCGCAAAUCUCCAAAAAAUGACGUGAUCUGGCUAUUACACUUCAUUGAGCACAAAAUUGAUAAAAGAAGACCCAUCACCACACACACACACACGCACACCACUACCACAAAAGCUGAACACGACAAAAAACGGUCAAAUUUCAGAAGAAUGGAAUGACUUCAUUAAAGCGACAUUAUCAGAUGAAACACCUCUUGGUCGCCGUGUACUCUCUUCAUCAUUCAUCAUGUCAGUAUAGCUUCGAUGGAAGAAAAGGCUACAUAAGAGAAUUGUGCCAAAAAACAAAACAAACAUUUAUAGCAUCUCUAAUCGCCAAUGUUUCGAUAAUGCUUUCAAACCCAAGAAACGGAAUAGUCAAGUAACUGGUGCCACUAUCUCUCUUCAACCCCUCAUCAUCGGUCUACCAUACUACUCUAUAAUGAGGAAGGGGCAGGUGUUCGGAAAUCUUCGUAUCUUCUUACGACAAUAGCUUGGUUGGGCGCGAGGGGCUCGAAAUUGUGAGUACUCAAAGCCAUCUAGCACUGAUGGACAAGCACGGCGGCUUCCCCCACUGACGCCUAUACAAUAACCCUCAUCAACGAGUCUUGGAAUUCGAACUCCUCUCCCGGCUAACCAAAUCCUUCCAAGCGAAGGAAGGAACUCAAGUUGAAGGAGCGAGAUAAGAAAUGGGUCCAGAGGUCCCCUGGUAGCACCCUUCGUAUGUUAUCUAAUUUCGUCAAGAUUGACUAUAUCUUAUACUUCGAUCGACUUACCUGGC